rnacentral:rRNA from 1 species
UACGUAGGUGGCAAGCGUUGUCCGGAUUUACUGGGCGUAAAGAGCUCGUAGGCGGCUUGUCACGUCGGGUGUGAAAACCCGAGGCUCAACCUCGGGCCUGCAGUGGGUACGGGCAGACUAGAGUGCGGUAGGGGAGAUUGGAAUUCCUGGUGUAGCGGUGGAAUGCGCAGAUAUCAGGAGGAACACCGAUGGCGAAGGCAGAUCUCUGGGCCGUAACUGACGCUGAGGAGCGAAAGUGUGGGGAGCGAACAGG